rnacentral:lncRNA from 1 species
AGGGGCGUAGAAUGGGCCUCGACCUGGACUUUCUCUUAACAUAGCAUAACAUAACAUGACAUUCCAAUAGUGCCAGGGGCGUAGAAUGGGCCUCGACCUGGUCUUUCUCUUAACAUAGUGCCAGGGGCGUAGAAUGGGCAUCGACCUAGACUUCCAUACAUACCAUAACAUCAUCAUAUCAUAUCAUAUAAGGACUAAAAGAUCAUCCAAUAUCCAUC